UCACCGUGAACAGACGAGCACGGCAGCGCCCAAGUCCUCCCAUAGAAAUAGUUCAGUUCUUAGGUGUUCUAACCAACACCAAAGUCUAUUCACUUUACCAAGGGAUCAACAAGUGAGGAUUUGUGGGUCACUUUUAUUUUUAACGGACCGGUGCCAGAAACACUGCCUUAGCAUUUAUACGUAUGUGCAUUUCAAACGAGGGUGCGUACAAUGCUGGAUUUGUUUCACGGCUCCUGUUGGAAAAAAAGGACCUAUUCCUAAAGUCCGUCAUCCACUCACUGAAGAGGGCAAAUCCCAGUUGCCCACAUGCAAGGAGGCUGUCAAACAGAGAAAACACUGCAGACUGUUGGUACACGGACAUCUGCUGCCCAGCUCAGGAGUGAAGGUAUGUAAGUUUGUAUGUACCAACAGUAAGAUAGGUAAUGGAAGAUUUUAAUUGGUAUAUACUGUUUAGAUUUUAUAUUUGAAUUGUAACAACUGUUUAUCUGUUGUUUUAGCACAGACAGGCCUGUCCUCUUGUUUGGUUUAAUUUUUUGUCUGGUAUUGUGUGUUCUUACAUUAGAGAAGGUUUUGACCUACAUAAUAAUUAACAUUUCACUAAUCUACAAUUCUGAUUGCACUACCUUUUGUUUUGAUGAGGUGAUGGUGAGGACAGCCACAGCUUCCAUCUGGUAGAGGACUGCUUCCGCUCAGUCUUCCAAAUAGUGAUGAGAACAAGGAUCACCACAUCUCCCUGUUUACCCUACUUUCAUGCAUUUCGUCUGCAAGGCCCUGCAAAAGCUUCUCCUUCGUCCUCAAACCCCCAGACUUCUUAAUUAACUCAGUAACCUAUACAUUGCACAUUGGAGUGUGAAGGUAACAGUUUGUUCUAGCUUUGGAGUAGUGGUGUAUUUUUUUGGUUUACAAUAAAGUUGGCUUUAACUAUUA